UACGUAGGGGGCAAGCGUUGUCCGGAAUCAUUGGGCGUAAAGGGCGCGUAGGCGGCGUGACAAGUCACUUGUGAAAUCUCCGGGCUUAACUCGGAGCGGUCAAGUGAUACUGUCGUGCUAGAGUGCGGAAGGGGCUACUGGAAUUCUCGGUGUAGCGGUGAAAUGCGUAGAUAUCGAGAGGAACACCUGCGGCGAAGGCGGGUAGCUGGGCCGACACUGACGCUGAUGCGCGAAAGCCAGGGGAGCGAACGGG
rnacentral:rRNA from 1 species